rnacentral:ncRNA from 1 species
CGGCCUGAGGUCGGACGAGGCUACCCGCUGAAUUUAAGCAUAUUACUAAGCGGAGGAAAAGAAACUAACGAGGAUUUCCUCAGUAACGGCGAGUGAAGCGGGACGAGCCCAGCGCCGAAUCCGGCCG